AAGACAUCUGGAGAAUCCUGUGGUAAGACAUCUGGAGGAGUCUGUGGUAAGACUUCGCGAGGAGCCUGCAGUAAAACAUCUGGAGGAGCCUGUGGUAAGAUAUCUGGAGGAGCCUGUGGUAAGACUUCGCGAGGAGCCUGCAAUAAAAUAUCUGGAGGAGCCUGUGGUAAGACAUGUGGAGGAGCCCAUUGUAAGACAUCUGGAGGAGCCUGUGGUGUGGUAAGACAUCUGGAGGAGCCUGUGGUAAGACAUCUGGAGGAGCCUGUGGUAAGACAUCUGGAGGAGCCUGUGGUAGGCCUGAUACUGACAUGUCUGAGAAACAAGCAUUUACCUUGUGCGCUGGAUGACCUGUGGAGCUUGUGUUAUAUGUUCUGAUUACUUGUAGGUGCUGACAUCAGGGCAGGAGAUCCAUCAGGGACAGAAGAACCAAAAGCAGCAGAUUCCUUAGGAGACGACAAGAGGAGCGCAAAUUCCUCAAAAACUGGCGGCGUCUGUGGUGCUGACAUCAGGGCAGGAGAGGAAGAACCAAAUACUGCAG